rnacentral:rRNA from 1 species
GACGAACGCUGGCGGCGUGCCUAAUACAUGCAAGUAGGACGCAGUUGCGAACGGGUGAGUAACGCGUAGGUAACUACCUAUUAGAGGGGGAUAACUAUUGGAAACGAUAGCUAAUACCGCAUACUAGUAGAUGGACCUGCGUUGUAUUAGCUAGUAGGUAGGGUAAUGGCCUACCUAGGCAACGGUACAUAGCCGAGCUGGGGGGGGGGUCGGCCACAAUGGGAAUGGGAAAAGGGCCAGACUCCUACGGGAGGCAGCAGUAGGGAAUCUUCGGCAAUGGGGGGAACCCUGACCGAGCAACGGCGCGGGAGUGAAGAAGGGUUUCGGAUCGUAAAGCUCUGUUGUUAAGGAAGCGGUACUUAAACAGAAAGGGACGGCUAACUACGUGCCAGCAGCCGCGGUAAUUC